UACGUAGGGACCAAGCGUUGUUCGGAAUUACUGGGCGUAAAGGGCUCGUAGGUGGCCAACUAAGUCAUACGUGAAAUCCCUCGGCUUAACCGGGGAACUGCGUCUGAUACUGGAUGGCUUGAGUUUGGGAGAGGGAUGCGGAAUUCCAGGUGUAGCGGUGAAAUGCGUAGAUAUCUGGAGGAACACCGGUGGCGAAGGCGGCAUCCUGGACCAAUACUGACACUGAGGAGCGAAAGCCAGGGGAGCAAACGGG
rnacentral:rRNA from 1 species